AUGAUGAUUUAGAUUACAAAGUUUAUGGUUUUCUACUGAAUAACCUUGAUGAAAGUAUUCUAGGGCGGUCUGAUUUU
rnacentral:snoRNA from 1 species